rnacentral:rRNA from 1 species
AUGAGGUACUCAAUCGAGCCUGGUAUAAAUUUGGAUGAAGUAGCAGAACAGAAUAGACCAGUACUUGACGAAGAUGAUGAAGAUGCUUUCAUCGUCGAGGAGAUUGGGGAUUCUUCGGAUGAACGACAAGUAGAGCCAAUCAUGACAUUGGAACCCAAGAAGGGGAUGGUGUUCGAUAGUGAGGAUGAUGCUGUCAGGUUCUACAAAGGAUACGCUAAAAAGAAGGGCUUUGGUGUGAUGAGAAGGACGACUAGAUACGGAGAAGAUAACAUGGUUACUUAUUUUACUCUCGCUUGUAGCAGACAAGGAAAGACUCAAUGCUCAGCAAAGAACUCAUUUAUGCCUAAUCCGUCAACAAGGAUGCAAUGCCCAGCUAAGAGUAAUUUCUCCCGCCGUGAGGAGAAGUUUUGUAUUACGUCUCUUACGCUUGACCACAACCAUCCUAUAAGUCCAAGCAAAUCCAGAUUUUUGAGAUGCCACAAGAAGUUGGACUUGCAUUCAAAGAGAAGGCUAGAAUUGAAUGAUCAAGCAGGAAUCCGUAUGAACAAGAAUUUUGGUUCUCUUGUUAUGGAAGCUGGCGGAUAUGGAAAUCUUGAGUUUGGUGAAAAGGAAUGUAGGAACUAUUUGCAAGAGAAAAGAAGGCUGCAACUUGGUGCUGGAGAUGCACAUGCUGUUUAUCAAUAUUUUCUUCGUAUGCAAUCAAAAGAUCCAGACUUUUUCCAUGUUAUGGAUGUGGCCGAGGAUGGACGUCUGAGAAAUGUCUUUUGGGCAGAUGCAAGAAGCAGGGCUGCAUAUGAGUCUUAUUGGGAUGCCAUCACAUUUGACACUACAUACUUAACAAACAAGUAUAAAAUGCCUUUCGCUCCUUUUGUUGGUGUAAAUCAUCAUGGAGAAUCUGUUCUAUUAGGUUGCGGUCUUCUAUCCAAUGAAGACACCGAAACUUUUGUUUGGUUAUUUAAAUCUUGGCUCUGUUGUAUGUCAUACAAACCACCAAAUGCUAUCAUCACUGACCAAUGCAAGGCAAUGCAAAAUGCUAUUGAAGAGGUUUUCCCUCAAACUCGUCAUAGAUGGUGUAUAUGGCAUAUCAUGAAGAAGAUUCCUGAAAAGCUUAGUGGUUAUGAGAAGUAUGAAAAGAUUAAAUAUACUUUGUCAAAUGUUGUGUAUGAUUCCUUGACCAAACAUGAUUUUGACAAAGCUUGGGCAGAGAUGAUCAAUAAAUAUGAUCUUCAGGACAAUGAAUGGCUUGCUGGAUUAUAUGAUAAUAAAAAUCGAUGGGUGCCAGCAUAUGUAAAAGAUACAUUUUGGGCAGGAAUGUCUUCAACACAAAGGAGUGAGAGUAUGAAUUCUUUCUUUGAUGGCUAUGUCAAUGCUAGAACAACUUUGAAGCAAUUUGUGGAGCAAUAUGAAAAUGCAUUAAGAGACAAGGUAGAGAAAGAAAACAAAGCUGAUUCUAAGUCGUUCCAAGAGGAAAUUCCAUGCAUUACUCACUAUGACUUUGAAAAGCAAUUUCAAGCAGCAUAUACCAAUGCAAAGUUUCAAGAGUUUCAAGAGCAAUUAAGGGGUAAAAUCUAUUGCUAUCCAUCUCUGCUGAACAAACAAGGGUCACUUUUCUCAUUUGGAGUCAGUGAGGACCGCAAGAUUUUUUUUGAAGGGGAGGAUGGCGAGAUUAAAGAGAAAUGGAUUGCUUCAGAGUUCACGGUCUUGUUCAACCAAGAGGAAUGUGAUGUGCAGUGUAUUUGUAGACUUUUUGAAUUUCGAGGCAUCUUGUGUAGCCAUAUCAUUUCUGUGCUUGCUCUCAUGAAGAUUAGAGAUGUACCUUCUAGGUAUAUAUUGCAGCGAUGGAGAAAGGAUUUUAAGCGCAAACACACAUUUAUUAAAUGCUCCUAUGGUGAUAUGCUGAAUACACCAGUCGUGCAGCGUUAUGAUGAUUUGUGCAAGCGUUCCCGCGAAGUGGCAGAGAAAGGUGCAGAGUCUGAUACAUUGCGUGACUUGGUGAUGGAUGGCCUUGAUGAGUUAGAAAGAAAGAUUGAGGCAUAUUGUGCCAGCCAAGAUGUUCAGGAAGAUGGUCCAACUUCAAAGCAAGAAGAUACAAUGCUAAAUAAAGAAAAACUUGUACUCAGUCCAAUCCCUGUUCGCAGUGUAGGCCGUCCUCCUUCAAAGAGAAAGAUGUCUAAAGUGGAUCAAGUGAUCAAAAAAUUGAGAGCAAAGAAGCGGCAUGUGCCGAAAACUACAACCAAAGUGCCAUCUCAAAAGCAGGGAAAGGGAAAUGCUCACUAUGAAGGAUAUGAGGCUGGAAGUUUUUUGUUCUUUCCAAAUGAGUUCCAGGAGCUACAAACAAAUGAACCUGCUACACCAACUCAUAUCAUGUCUUACAUUGAUAUUCUCCAGGGAAAGAAAGAUGUCAUGGACUUGCUCGCUGCUAACCUGAAUGGAUGA